GGACAUACAUACAAUUUGUAUGAUACAAAAUUUGACAAGGAUACUGUUGCUUUCAGUCUUGUCGAUUGACUAGAUAAUCGGGUCUUACACCUGAUUGGUUUUAUUAAGUUAGCGGUGGUGGUAAUUCCACGCGGGCAUAAUACGAACAUUCUCAGCGACUACUAAUUUCAGAGGCACACAAGGGCUAACUUUAACCACAAACAAAACUGAUUUUUGAAGUUGGUUGAGAUGAACAUGGCGCUCAGUUUACCCACUAAGUUGGCGGGUUUGACUGUAACGCCGUCAGUUCAUGUUAAGUAUGCGGGUUUGACUGUAACGGCGCCGGUUCAUGCUAGGUUUAGCCGGGGAGUCACUCUGUUUGCAACUCCGCCGAACACCAGUAAUAGUAGCCGUCAAACGGCAGUGGAUUGGGUGGAGGAAACUGCUAGUUUCUUUGAGCUUGAUAAUCGCCCCAUUAUGUUAUUCGACGGUGUUUGCAACCUAUGUAAUGGAGGUGUGAAGUUCGUCCGUGAUAAUGAUAGUGGAAGGAGAAUUAGGUAUGAAGCUUUACAAAGUGAAGCAGGCAAGAACCUGUUGAGGAGAUCCGGCAGAGCUCCUGAUGAUAUUUCAAGUGUUGUGCUUGUUGAAAAAGAUAGGUCUUAUGUGAAAUCGGAAGCUGUUCUGAAGAUUAUGGAAUACAUUAACUUGCCUUUCCCACAGCUAGCAUUCUUCUUACAAUUUGUGCCUCUAUUCGUUCGAGACUUUGCAUAUGAUAAUGUUGCCAAUAACCGUUAUGCACUCUUUGGCCGCUCCGAAUCAUGUGAGAUAUAAUUGGAGGCGCGGAGCACUGUUUGGCUGCUCCAGUUCAUGUGAUUAUACACUAUACAGAAACUGGUACUUCUUCUAUUGUACAUUUCACUGCAGGCUUAGUAUGAGUGUAUCUUCCAUGAGCAUUGAUGCACUUGGCAUGAACAGGGUUACCUUUAACAGAAGAUAUAUACACACGAUCGAGAAGUAUGUUUUUGCAGCCAACAGUCUCGCUGCAGCUCAGAUUUAUCACCUCGUCCAUCAGGGAAGUCCCAAGUAUUCCUCUGAAUGUUAUGUCGCUCAAUGCAACUGCAGCUGUCUGCAUCAAAUUAGUUAUACCAAUCACUUAGUAACAAAAUUCAACUGUUACACAAAAUAGUUCGUUAAAAACUUAUACCGUGAAAGUAUACACAGUUUUUAUA